AUUGAACGCUGGCGGCAGGCCUAACACAUGCAAGUCGAACGAGUGGCGGACGGGUGAGUAAUGUCUGGGCAACUUCCCGAUGGAGGGGGAUAACUACUGGAAACGGUAGCUAAUACCGCAUACCAUCGGAUGUGCCCAGAUGGGAUUAGCUAGUAGGUGGGGUAACGGCUCACCUAGGCGACGAUCCCUAGCUGGUCUGAGAGGAUGACCAGCCACACUGGAACUGAGACACGGUCCAGACGCCUAAGGGAGGCAGCAGUGGGGAAUAUUGCACAAUGGGCGCAAGCCUGAUGCAGCCAUGCCGCGUGUAUGAAGAAGGCCUUCGGGGUGUAAAGUACGUUCAGCGAGGAGGCGUUACUCGCAGAAGAAGCACCGGCUAACUCCGUGCCAGCAGCCGCGGUAAUUC
rnacentral:rRNA from 1 species